GAAAUCAAACUCUUCGUAAGAUAAUUGUUCUCUUCCGAUUACCGAAGUUAAGCAAUGUCGGACCCGGUCAGUAUUUGGGAGGGUGACCACUUGGAAACACCGGGGGCUUUAGGCU